UUUCAGCUGAUUAAUAAUGCAAAAUUAGUAAUUGUAGUAUUUAUAAUUAUGAAUAUAUUUCUAUAUUUUAUAUUUAGAUAUCGACGAAUGUACUGUCAGACAGCCCGUGUAACGAAAACGAGGAAAUGCACCAAUGUCCCGGGUGAUUAUUACUGUACCUGUAAGGCGGGUUACAGCAAGGCAAACUCAACAAACUGUACAGACAUUAACGAAUGUGCAAUCAACCGUGGAGACUGCCAGCACGACUGUGUCAACGUCCUCGGCUCCUUCGACUGCCGUGUAAAUACGGCUA